GACGAACGCUGGCGGCGUGCUUAACACAUGCAAGUCGAACGGAAAGGCCCUGCUUUUGUGGGGUGCUCGAGUGGCGAACGGGUGAGUAACACGUGAGUAACCUGCCCUUGACUUUGGGAUAACUUCAGGAAACUGGGGCUAAUACCGGGUAGGAGCUCCUGCUGCAUGGUGGGGGUUGGAAAGUUUCGGCGGUUGGGGAUGGACUCGCGGCUUAUCAGCUUGUUGGUGGGGUAGUGGCUUACCAAGGCUUUGACGGGUAGCCGGCCUGAGAGGGUGACCGGCCACAUCGGGACUGAGAUACGGCCCAGACUCCUACGGGAGGCAGCAGUGGGGAAUAUUGCACAAUGGGCGGAAGCCUGAUGCAGCAACGCCGCGUGCGGGAUGACGGCCUUCGGGUUGUAAACCGCUUUCGCCUGUGACGAAGCGUGAGUGACGGUAAUGGGUAAAGAAGCACCGGCUAACUACGUG
rnacentral:rRNA from 1 species